CCCUUUAAGGGGGGGGUGGUGCUUCAGCCAGUCGCUGGGGUCGCUGCUGGCGUGCGCGCCUCUACGGAAGCCGAGACGGCGCUUUCCGCGGGGCCCCGGCAGAAGCCGCGGCGUCGUUGAAGCGAACGGAAGCGGUGGCGAUGUGGUCGGAGCGAGCGAAAGCGGCGGCCAGAGUCUGGGACGUAGUCCUGGUGGGCAGAAGCGAAGUCGACUUCCCAGCGAGCAGAAGCGACAAGCUUCGGAGAAGCCGUGGUGGCUUCCAUGCGAUGGGGGAGCAGGAGGGAGACUUCCGCGGAGAUGAAGAUGUUUUCAGUCUGCAUGCCUGAGAUCGUGUGGAAUGGGACUUUCUCUACCAGGCUCAUCCGUUGGACCUGAUGUUCUCCAGGUUUCUUCAUGUGGCUGCAGAUGGCAGGAUUUCCCAGAGCUUUAUGGCUGGAACAUACUCCAUGGUGUAUCUGUACAGCAGUUUCUUCAUCCCUGCAGCUGUGGGUGCACAGGUCAUAUAUGAUGUCCUCCAAGUUCAACAGCGUGGCUCCAAAUGAUGACAUUUCAUUCCAGUUUUCUAGCUGAAGACGAUUCUAUUUGUGCACAUACACCAGGUUUUUCCACAUGGCCGCAAGUGAUGAGAUUUCACCAUUUCUACGAUUGAAGAAUAUUCUGCUCUGGGUAUAUAUUGCAGUUUCCUCAUCUCUUCAUCAAUGGAAGAACAGGGUUUUACCAUGUUGGCCAGACUGGUCCCGGACUCCCAACCUCAGGUGAUCCACCCACCUUGGCUUCCCAAAGGGAUUACAGGCAAGUCUGAGAACUGAGAGGGACGUACAGGAUUGGUUUGGAAGCCAGAAUUCGGAUUGUCAGAGCUGGGAAAGCAGAAGCAAGGCAAGAGUGUGCACAGGAGUGGGUCACACAGCAGCUCCGUGGUAUGCCGUGUGUCCUCUUAUACGGCAGGCCAGCUCUAGCCCAGCAGAUGAGAAUCACCUGAUGGGUGGAAAGAGUGGAUUCAGCUCCUGUUGAAGAGCCAGAGGAGUGUACAACUGAGACGCUUCAGGAGGAGACGUCACCUCACAUAGUAAGAUGCAUUUCUUUGUCUUGAAGAGAAAUGUCUUUUUCUGGGGCUUCUAGAAUAUCAAGUGAAUAUCAUUUUUGACUGCCAUUGUGAAUCAGGCCUCAGCUGUCAUGGACUCUAGCUACCAGUCACCGGGGUUUAUAACUGACUGUGGCCUGAUUGAUGAUGUCAGUCAAAAGAUGACAUCACUGACAAACUAGUAGUGAGCAUAUUUCUGUUUCUCAGUAGCACCAUUUUCUUCCUGAAAAAUAAUUUUGUAUUUGGCAGCCAACAUGGACUUGCUAAAUAUCCCAUGAAAACCCACUGCCUCGGUGGCUCGCACAUGGAAUCCCAGCACUUUGGGAGGCUGAGGCAGACAGGGCCAAUAAAAUGAAACCCCAUCUGUACUAUAAAUACAUUAGCCGGGCGUGGUGGCCGGCGCCUGUGGUCACAGCUACUUGGAAGGCUGAGUGAGGCAGGAGAAUUGCUUGAACCCAGGAAGCUGAGGUUGCAGUGAGCCGAGAUCAUGCCACUGUACUCCAGCCUGGACAGAGCAAGAGCCUCGUGCUAGACCUGAAGCGGGACAUGAUUUUGAGGAUCAGAGGGGAGAAAAUGAGGACAUUUUGGACAUUGUUAAAAGAGAAUGUCAAGGUUUCAAUGUUAGGGGUGGCAGUUCAGCAUCAUCACCAUGGCUCAGGCAGAAUAUGAGACUUCUUCUGGGGAAGAGUGAGUAGGACUUUGUUUCCUCUCUUUCGAAAGCUUGGUGUCAACAUCACCCCAAAUGCCUCGAGAGAGGGGCUUCCUUCCUGGCCCAUGUAUUCUCCAGCUCUGUGUGAUGAUGGCAAUGACACCAGCAGAAAUUGCUGAGAGGGGCGGAACCGGAAUCAGGUCCCCAUUAUUCUGACACAGAGCAGAUAGGACACGAGUCAGUAGGAGUGGAUCUCAGGGUCAGGCCAGACACAGAGAGGUCCCAGGCCUGAUCUUCUUGGGGCUGAGACAGGUAAGUUUUUAUUUUUCACCUCUUCUGGAAGUGUCCUGCGGAAUGUUUCUUUAGUAGAUCCUGGUGGCCAAGGGUCUUCUGGCCCAGAAAUGCUUUUCAACUGGACAGAGUUCCCAGCUCUUGGCUUGGGCAGCUGCAGCACUCCCAAGUAGCAGGGCAGGUGGGGAGGGACAUGAGUUCCAGUACAGGGUCAUCUCAGCAAAGGGCUAGGGACUGAUCCCAGAGUCCAGGUCAUCCUUUCAACUCUUUGGAUCCAUAACAUCUCAGUUUCCACUUAUAUUGGAGAUGGUUUAAAAUCGUCCAUCUCUUAAGUUUGAGUAUUCCCGCAGGUAAAUAGAGGAACCCUGGCUGUGGGUGUUAACUAGCAGGGCAGUGACUGUGUCUUCCUCAUUUGUCCUUACCCCAGAGCUCAGUCCUGGGAAGGAUAUGUUAGGCUCCAUGGAUGUUUUAAUGAACACACCCCCUUGGAUGAGCUCUAGGUCACCCCUGGGCUGGGGUCUAGUGCAGGUGUGGAAAGGUGUUCUUCUCAGCCUGUCCAGCCUGUUGAGCCCCACACUCAUCCUGGAGCCUGCCCAGCUUCGGAGUCAGGGUUCCUGGAGAUGAGGGCGAGCUCCUGAGGACAGUGAGAUGCCCCCACCCUUCUGCUCCUUCUGCUCUGAUCUAUUCUAGACAGGGUGUGCAGGGCCACUCUCUUCUGCUGGGUGCAAGCUCAUCCCUGCUGGAAUCCCUCUGGACCUGGAUGUUGUCCUCACUGUCCUAUCCCCAGCCCCACACAGUGACUGGCCCUUGUGCAGAUGCCCAGGAAGUAACCGUAAAUGUGUGGUAGGAUCAGAGCAGCAAACAAUUCUGCAAGAAACAUCAGGAGAGGAGAGUCAGGUCUUCCUCAUGUCUGGAUCUCUUGAGCUGUCCCAUCUAGUGUGCUUCUCAGUCAUAUACAUGCCUCUUUAUAGUUAAAUAAACUUAAAUAUAUACAAUGAAAUAUUCAAAACAUCACAACAGCCACCAUGCAGUUGCCCAGCAGCCAUACAGCAGAGAGCAUUUCCAUCCCCACAGAAUGCUGUCUUGCAUGUCUGCUGUGAGCCUGGCCCAGGGUCUGACUGUUGGACUCAUCUCACUGAAAGCGUGCACAUUAAAGUUGGGAUCUCAGGGUUGUGAGAUUGGAGGUGCGACCUAUCAUGGGCCAGUGGAAGGAAAAAUGGAAAGGUGAUUCCUUCAGCUCCUCUUUCUCACUUGAAGGCUGGAAAGUGUGAGCAAUGCCUUGUUGAAGACCUCUGGCUCCACAGAGCCUGGAGGGAAUCUGAGAACACUGAGGAAAGCUCAGGGUGACCUCGUGUAAUCCAGUGUGACCUCACCUGGAGUAGGAGGGUGGGUGAGUCACUCUCUGAAAUAACUUCUUGCUGAGAUUUGUGUCUCUAAAGAUUGGCCAGUGGAUACCAUCCAUGAGGGAGGCUGCUAAAGGACAAUUUCUGCAGGUAGAAAAUGAUAUUCUAGGCUGGGUGCAGUGGCUCACGCCUGUAAUCCUAACACUUUGGGAGGCUGAGGUGGUCGGAUCACGAGGUCAAGAGAUCAAGACAAUCCUGGCCAACAUAGUGAAACUCCGUCUCUACUAAAAAUUAGCAUGCGCCUGUAGUCCCAGCUACUUGGGAGGCUGCGGCAGGAGAAUUGCUUGAAACCAGGAGGCAGAUGUUGCAGGGAGCCGAGAUCCCGCCACUGCACUCCAGCCUGGUGCCUGGUGACAGAGCAAGACUCUGUCUCAAACAAACAAACAAACAAACAAAAAAGGAAAAUGAUAACCCUAAGAGUAUUUCUGGGAGCAGUUGGGUUACACCUGUUGCUUUGGAACCUAGGAAGGGGGCUGUGAAGCCAGAACAAAAAAAAAUAAUAAUAAUAACUGUAGAGGUCUGACUUGUUCCUCUUGGAUUUUAAUAAGAUAGAGAUGAGAGGAUGUGUGUCCAUGGGCUCUGUGGGCUGCGUUUGUAACCAUCGUUUCUUGCUCUGGUAUUUAAUGAUUACUUUUCCCAGGAGACCAGUUUUUCCUGCCUAUGUCACAGCAGACAUCUAAGGCUUGCUUUUUGAUUGGUUAAUAUCUUUUGGGAGUUGGGAAUGCGAGAGUAUUAUUAGGCCUUGGCAUUGUCUAAGAUGAAAGAUAUCUGGUGCGACUCCCUCACAGUGCUAUUUGAACAUCGUUGUUCCUCUGAGAUGGUCUCAGAAUUUUCAGUCCCACACUCCAUAUGCCACAUGCAGCAAAGCUCCCUGAGUUACUCACAGUCUCCAGCCACCAGGGUACUGGCUUUUACUCUGUGUCCCUUCAGCUCCUGAGGACAGUGAGACAUUUACUUUGAUGGAUUAUUAUGAGGUAAGAACCCCUUUUUUUAAUCCUCUAAAGAAUGCCCUGUCACGUGGGGAUCGGGGACGGAGAGCAUCUGGAUAAAUAGCUAAUGGAUGCGGGGCUUAAACCUGGGUGAUGGGUCGAUACAUGCAGCAAAGCACCAUAGCACAUGUUUACCUGUGUAAUAAACCUGCACAGUCCUGCACAUGCAUCCUGGAACUUAAACUUCAAAAGAAAACAAAAUGUAAAAAGAAUUAUUUCUUUUCUGAUUUCUUUCCUUCUGUUAAUUGUGAUAAUGUGAGAAGGCACAUUAUGUACAACGUGUCUUAACCUCUUUGUAGGGGUGGAAUUCAGUGGGAGUGUCUUCCCAUCGGAUAUGUAAUAUAUUAGAAUGUUUUUAAAAGACAGCAUCCAUUAUCAACUGUAAUGCAGAGGAAUUUUUCUCAACACCAGUUUUCCUCUUUGGUUUAGGCAUUGUGUAUUUGCCAGUGUCAAUCAACUUCAUAGAUAAAUUCUGUGGGAAAAGGUCUUGUCUUUUCCACAGGUGUCCUCUAUACUAGCAUGUUUGAUUCUUGGCCUUUGACUCAACCAUUGUCUUACAACUAGUUUUCUGAAGUCAUCAAGAGACAACAGAUGUUGGGGGUGGGGGGGGAAUGCAGAAUAAUUAAUCUGAUUCUCAUAGUCUUUUGUCUAAUUGCAGAGUUUGUCAGUUUCUGGUAUGGUAUGUACCCUGAAGUAGCUCACCUGCUGAGGAACAAACUUGCUGGUUUUUAUAUAUAGAAACCUGAUACUGGGUUCCGGUUAAAGAACAUUGGGGGUCUAGUGAGAGCAAGUAAUUUUGCAAGUGUAUAACUCUGAUCAGAGGGGCUGUAUGAAUGCAUGUGAACCCCAAGGACCAGCCAGGGGAUGUUGUGUGAGCUGACGUGGCUUCAGCUGGAGGAAGAGGAGUGGGUGAGUCACUCUUUCUAAUGACUUGUCCUGAUGUUUUUGCUUCUAAGGGCUGGUUUCGGGUGAGGGUCUUCACAUUCAGUGAAGACGACCCCCAAGGUAGGGAACUACUUUCCAGGUAGGACCUAAUGAAAAAGUGUUCUUAAGAGCCUUCAGGUUAUCCCCGCUGCUUGAGGGGCUGAAGAAGGGGGUAUGAAAUCAGAAAGAAAAUGAAAAUGUGUGUGAGGUUUGUUCUUUUCAAAGUUUGUUGUCAUAAAGGUAGGAACUGUGUCUCUGGGCUAUGAGGGUGCUGUGUUCAUUAGAGAUGAUCUUUGCAGUACACCUGCUCUUUUCUGCCCAGUGAAGCAUCAAAACCUUUGGUUUGGAUUAAUCAGCACUCCUUGAGAUUAUGCACAAGGGAUGUAGGGCUGAGCAUCGGGUGUCAUACGUAAUGAAAGGAAGGAAUCUGUCGGAACAUCUGUCUCACAGGCAUUUACUUUAACCUAGAGAAAAAGUUCUGCUGUGUGCCAGGGGGAAAUUGAUAAUCACCCUCUGAACUUUUAAGACUUGUUAUAGCACAUUUAUGUUUCUGUCCUCUCUGUGGGUUUAAAGGGAUCUCCCAGGGGUGGAUGGCAGAGUGAAUAUUCACUCUGGGCUCACUGGUACGUCUCCAGUCUUCUGGGCAGGCAGAGAAGGAGUCUGACCUUGAGCACAUUUGUAGCCUCCACUUCCCAUUUCUGCCACAGAUUCUGAGAUGAGGCUUCUUUCUCUCCAGUUCUCUAAUUUUUGGGGAAACCAAGAGUUCCUUCCCACAGAAGAUGGCAUUACACUAUUUCCUGUCUUUAAAAAUUAGGCUUCCGUUGUUCUCUAAGUUGAUAUUUAUAAGUUAAGUUCUGGACCUUUUAUUCACAGAUUGCUAAAAGUUGUACAGGAAACUCCAUAGGAUAAAAUGUGCUGAUAGCACAUAAUUCUGUCCAUGCUAAGAACACAUAAUUCUGUCCAUCCUCAUUUUACAUAGUAAGAUGCAAAACCAAGUGGGCAUCCUCUGUCCAGUCUGGGGCACUUCAUUAAAGAAGUGAGUUUGUUGCUGUCUGUCAUUUGCUUUUCUUCAUGAGACCUUUGAACCACCUAAAUAUUGCCAGCACCCUCUUUUGGGACCCUGACAUCUGAGAGGGUGAGAUGGCACAAGUGCAGACAUCCCUGGUUCCUUCCUGAAAUUUCCCUCCUCCUUUAAUCAUCUUCCUUAAGGGACCUGCUCUGACUGCUAAUGACUUGUUUAGACCUCUCCAGGUUUGGACUGUCAUACAUAGAAUAAGUCAAUAUGUGUUUCUCGGUGUCUGGCUUUUUCGCUCACAUUAUAAUUUGAAAUUCAUUCAUGUUUGUAAGUGUAACUAUAAUUCUUCUAUAUCCUUGUCGCAUACCAUUCCACUGUAGUCACGUAUUACAGUUUAUUCACUCCACUGUUGAUUGACAUAGAAUUUUCUUCUUUUGUUUUUAAAUAAUUAUGGCUGUGAGAAGUAAUGUUGCUUUGAGUAUUUUUGUCAAUGGUUUUGGAAUAAUACUGCACUCAUUUCUGUGAAGUAGAUUGUUAGAAGGAAACAUAUCUUCUAUUGUCACGAAUAGUGCCAAAUACUUUUCAAAAUGGUGAUGCUAAUUCAUGCUCCUGUAGCAGCACAUGUGAGGAGACAUUUCUCCAAAUCCUUGUGAACUCUUAGUUUUAUCUCUCCCUAAAAAUUUCAUCACUGUGGUUAGUCUUUCAUUUGUAUAGCAUCUUACUUACAAUUUUUAACCAAAAAUUUUGUUUUAAUCUAAUGAUGCAGGCCAGUAAGUUUGUGUACGCCCGCCUGACCCGAGCCAUGUAGUGCCGGUGUUCCAUCUGAAGUGUGACUCUGGCGAGGCUGUGUGUUUUCUCAGGAGAGAUUUCCCAUUUACACAGCCCAGUCGCCAGUGUCCACUUCUAAAAAAUAAGAUCCAGCCCCACUCUACUCUGUCUGUACAGUGACUCCUCCAUCCUCACCAGAGCCAUCCCUGGGUCUGGUUUAUUAUCCUCGCUGCUCAGGUGGAGAACCUGAAGGGCCAAGGGGUGGCCCCAGCUCCCGAGUUCCUGAAUGAAAAAGUGAAAACACAAACCCAGUGGUGUGGACCUGUGCUGACACUGGCAACUACUGGCAUGCUUUUUAUCACGGGGUGUUCGCCACCACGCAGGGAGUCCAGCAUUUGUGUAUAAGCCCUAUAGAGGUCCCAGACACUGCCUGCCCAUCGUUAUAAAGUGGCCUCCGUGGUCACACGACCCAGGGCAGUUACAGGCACAUCUCCCCACAGACCAGCGGAGUCAUCAGUCUGAAAAGCACAAAGAUCCCCAGGUUUUUGGGUCAGCUCACAGAUUCUUUUUUGUUUGGGGAACCUGUGCAGGAUGAGCAGGUUCGGUACAUACGUAAACGUGUGUCAUGAGGAUUUGUUAUACAGGUUAUUUCAUCAUCCACGUAUUCAGCCUCAUAUCAGUUAUUUUCCUGAUCCUCCCACCGUCCACCCUCCAGUAGGCACCAAGCUCACAAAUUCUAAGAGGAGUGGGGGACCACACAGGCCAGUGCGGCCCACUUCAGUUGUCAAGUUAAUUUGCCCAGAAGCUGGCCAAAGCACAUAAGGAUCCGUGAUGUCUUUUAGUAGAUGUAGUAAUACCUUCCCAAGCCCUAAAAUGCUCAAACCCGGCCAGCUGAAAAUGGUGAGGAGAGGGACAGGUAGGAACUCUGUGCAGCACUUGGUUGGUAGCCUGAUUUCCACCCCCUCGUGGCAACUCUCUUGUGCAUGCGGGUUAAAGACCCUCAGCCUCAACCCAAGCCUCCCCCAUGAGGAGACUCACUAUUGGCUGACUAUGCAGUGUAUGGCCACCAGCCCAAGUGAAACAAAACAUUGCUUUAAAACAAGUUAUGUAUUCAUAAUAUCCACUCAUUGUUUUGUAAUCUCUGCUCUCUCUGUGGUUAUGUCUUUCUAUUAAUUUCUGAUAUUAAUUUUGUGAUUUCCCUUUUUUCUUGAUAAA